GCUAAAAUAGCUCAGUUCGGUAGAGCAACUGAUUCGUAAUCAGUAGGUCGGGGGUUCGAAUCCCCCUUUUAGCCCCA
rnacentral:tRNA from 1 species